UUCUUUAAGGUUAAAUUUAAGGUAUUUUCUGCUCUAUGAUUAUUUUUAAUUAAAUGGCUGCAGUAUAUUGACUGUACAAAGGUAGCAUAAUAAUUAGUUUUUUAAUUAGGAACUUGAAUGAAUGGGUAAAUGAAGUAUAAUCUUUAUUUAGAUUAAAAUUAAAAUUUUAUUUUUUGGUAAAAAAGCUAAGGUUUGUUUUAGGGACGAGAAGACCCUAUAGAACUUUAAAUUUAAUUAAGUUUAUUUUUUUUUUAGUUUAAUUUAAAAUCUAUUAGGUUAAUAUUUUUAAUUGGGGUGAUUAGUAAAUUUAAAAAUCUUUACUUUAAUAUUUCAUAGGUUUAUGUUUUAAUGAUCCUUAGUGGAUUGUAAGAUAAGUUACCUUAGGGAUAACAGCGUAAUUUUAAUGGAAAGUUCAUAUUUAAAUUAAAGGUUGCGACCUCGAUGUUGAAUUAAGAUAAAAGUAUGGUGAAGAAGCUUUAUAUUUAAGUCUGUUCGACUUUUAAUAUCUUACA
rnacentral:rRNA from 1 species